CGUGAACCCAUCCGUAACUCUAGAAAGUUCGAUUCGUCGAAGCUGGCGGCCGUGAGUCAGUCUCAGAUAUUUGAAGAGAAAAGUUAGCCAGGACAUGGACCAUGCGCCUGUGAUCCAAAAGAUAGCACCUCCACUGCUCCAUUAUCUCAGUAGGGCGUUGGAAGUGUCAGCCUCGUUGAUGGGAGUGAGAGCCAAACACACAAUCUUCUGAUUCUUAAUGGCCUCUGAUGCUGAGUGGAAUUUCAGGCUUGAUCUUCAAUCCCAAAGGAAAGAAGCAAGGAUGCUGCUGUCAAACCAAAAAGGAUCACAGCACAGAAGAAUAAUGUGGAACAUGACUUUCGAUGGUUGCCGCACAUCCCAGUGACAGAACCAGAAGCCACUAAGGAUGCUGGGUAAACCAUUUAGGACAGAAAUGAGGAGAAAUUCUUUCACCCGAGAGUGGUGAGCCUGUGAAAUUCUCAGCCACAGAAAGCUCAAAGGAGACCUGACUGGGGCCAGAAGCGAAUAUAGUCUCUCCUAGAAAAGGUGAUUAUUCAGAGCAGUCAAGGGAAUAAGUUUGUGAAAAAUUCCAGGAGUGUUUAGUUAGAACUCUGCAGUUGAUUAAAAAUCCGAGAAAGUCAAAGCUCUCAGUUAUGAGAGUGUUCCAGGAAAAGGCUUCAUGACUAAGAGGAUUGAGAAGAAGCAAUUAAGUCAAAAUUACAGACUUGAUAAGGAAGGAAAAUUCAUCUGGAUUUUGAGUACUUAAGUAAAUUGUUAUUAUGCAAGAUAAAAUCCUAAGUGUGAAG